rnacentral:misc_RNA from 1 species
GAUGAAGAACGCAGCGAAAUGCGAUACGUAAUGUUAAUUGCAGAAUUCAGUGAAUCAUCGAGUCUUUGAACGCACAUUGCGCCCUCUGGUAUUCCGGAGGGCAUGCCUGUCCGAGCGUCAUUGCUGCCCUCAAGCACGGCUUGUGUGUUGGGCUCCGUCCCCCGAUCCCGGGGGACGGGCCCGAAAGGCAGCGGCGGCACCGCGUCCGGUCCUCGAGCGUAUGGGGCUUUGUCACCCGCUCUGUAGGCCCGGCCGGCGCUUGCCGAUCAACCAAAUUUUUAUCCAGGUUGACCUCGGAUCAGGUAGGGAUACCCGCUGAACUUAAGCAUAUCAAUAAGCGGAGGA